rnacentral:miRNA from 3 species
UGCCUGGCUCCCUGAAUGCCAUC